UACAGAGGGUGCGAGCGUUAAUCGGAAUUACUGGGCGUAAAGCGCACGUAGGCGGCUUGGUAUGUCGGGUGUGAAAUCCCCGGGCUCAACCUGGGAACUGCAUCCGAAACUGCCUUGCUCGAGUAUGGGAGAGGGAAGUGGAAUUUCCGGUGUAGCGGUGAAAUGCGUAGAUAUCGGAAGGAACAUCAGUGGCGAAGGCGACUUCCUGGACCAAUACUGACGCUCAGGUGCGAAAGCGUGGGAGCAAACAGG
rnacentral:rRNA from 1 species